GCAUUCGCCAAAUGGUUGUAC
rnacentral:siRNA from 1 species